UACAGAGGUCUCAAGCGUUGUUCGGAAUCACUGGGCGUAAAGGGCGCGUAGGCGGCUCAUGAAGGCUGUGGUGAAAGUCCGGGGCUCAACCUCGGAUCGGCCGUGGCGACUCGUGGGCUGGAGCACUGUAGAGGCGGGUGGAAUUCCGGGUGUAGCGGUGGAAUGCGUAGAGAUCCGGAAGAACACCAGUGGCGAAGGCGGCCCGCUGGGCAGUGGCUGACGCUGAGGCGCGACAGUGUGGGGAGCAAACAGG
rnacentral:rRNA from 1 species